rnacentral:rRNA from 1 species
AUGCGCUUAGUAUAUCACUGGCUGGCUGCUGGGUCCAUCUUUCCAUGGGGCCCGGGGGCAGUGGCUGGGUUGUGCGCGCAGGUCGUCGUUGUUGUCAUGCGCAUAUGGAUUGACUCAGCGGAUGGCUUGCGGGUGAAAGGAUUGCGCUCGCCAGCGUUGCCUGCUGCAUGCGCGUCGAUUGGCUCUCGCGUUGCCCGUAGAAUGCGCGUCGAUUGGCUGAGGGCUGAAAUCCCGCUGCUUUACUCGUCCGUGCCAUGCACUGUCUUUGAUGGUGGUCCCGGCUUGCAUUUAGGCCCGCGUUGCAGCGUCAUCGCGAGAAAGGAGGGCGAGGACGAGAUGACGACCGGGUCGUCCGUCAGCCUCGCUGCCGGGGAGCAGUCGGCCCGCGGUCGCGCGGUGCUGUCCGGCCUGCCGGACACGGCCGGCAUCGUCCUCGUCGGCGAUGGGCCCCGUCGAUGUCGCCCCCCUCAGCGCUAUGAGGUCCGUCCGCUCGCCUACCUGGUGCGAUUGGGUGUGCGGUGCGUUUUAUGGUGCGAUGGAUGGCGCUGGGGCAAGGGCGGCCACGGCUCGCACAAGAUUCAGCUCCUGCUCGUGGAGUUAAAGGCCGGUGUUGGGGUCCUCAGCGGCGAGGAGGACGACACGUCGUGUGUACGCAGUGUUCCUCCCGCUCGUGGAGUGAGCGUUUUGGACCAGCCUCGAGGGUGGCCGUCCGGACGGCAACGAGCUUCGGCUCUGCAUCCAGAGCUGCAACUCCGGCAGGCACGCCACUUCUUCGCCCCUCUCAGUCGCCGGUGCUUUUAUUCUGUGUAUGGCGAUGGGGUUGCUUCAUCUGCUCCGUUCAUGUCGUUGAGGUAUUGCAAGGCGCAUCAUUGGACUGAUGUACCAGAAAGGGCAGUGCCACUAGAGAUAAUUAUUCCAGAUCACCUUCUACUUCUUGAUGGAAGUCAUUAUCAGAAUGUAGUUGUUAUAGGGGAGAACAAAAUUAAUCCAUCACAAGCAAAAUAG